AAUGUCGUCCAGAUGCCAGGAUUACCUGAUGACUAGCCCUCUAUCGUAACAUCCGCUUUAGGAAUUUAACUGGAGUUUUUUGGUCUUUCUAGAUAAAAUCUGGACUCUGUUAGCCAAAAUCAUCUUGAAGUCGACGUUUCCAAGUUGGAAGAAUCAAAUAGAACGGACACAUAAAGACCGAAUUCCAGCUUGGACAAUCUAAGUUGACCCCAAGUUCAGACUCAGUUUUCCUGUUGGCUGUUGCCAACAGGAAAACUGGCUUGAUUGAACUCAAUCCACUCUUAUUUGUCAGAGAGUCCAGAAAACUCAGGUGGACGCCUCAACAAUCGGCUGGGAUCUACGACUAUCUAACAAACAAACCAGUUUGUGAGACUGAAUGAUUGUGUGUCUAAUCAGGUCAGGUGGUCAGCAGUACAUUAGUACCAAAGGGGACUGUACUCUCACUAUUUCCUUUUUUCCUCUUUACAUCCGAGUCUUCCAGCGUAAGUCACUCCUGAUGACGUCCUCAGAUGACUCUGCAGUCGUCAGGCGGAUGGACAAGCCAUACUGGACAGCCAUUUUGGAUUUUCUGUUUGAGGAUGGUCAGAAACCCCAUACUGUACAAAUCGUCAUUUCAACUCAGAUGAUAAUUAUGUCCUUCUGGUAGCUGUGACUGUGACAGAGGUUCAAACAGGACUCCUUGCUGACCUGCAAGUGGACCAGCUCGUGUACUGCACUUCACCAUCUUCACCUGGCCAGCUGCAGCAUCCCAUGGGAUGAUGAAGUUCUGUCGCUUGUCGAGCAAAAACCUGGGUUCAGAAUUUUCCAAAGAACUUUACAAAUACACCCCUCGCUUCUUUGAGAUUUUCAAGAGCAAGGGGGGAAGUGUUGCCCAGAAACUUCAGACGUAUCUGCAACAAGUCAGACCCGAGAGUUCAGAUAUUACUGCGAAGCGAAUGGCAGUGCUCCGUGGCCUUCCUGUAAUCCUUGGAGAUGAGAACACAGACUUCUUCAAGACAUGCUUUGACUGCGAAGACCCAGACAUCUCUCACCCCCAUUGGGAUCCUGACCAUCAUUCCUGAGGACAGGCAGGCCUCCCCUGACUCACUGCACCUUGAGUCUUCAGGUACUGCCAUCAUUUUGGAAGGAAGUCUUGUCAUGAAUGACCUUGGAAAUCUUCCACAUGCCAUGUGCUUGCUCUUUGGACUUAUUUAUGCUCUGAAUUUGGAGUACCCUCAACAACUGAAGUACACCUUUGACUUCAUCCAAAGGGUGCUUCUCUCACUUGGACAUAAAUCCCUAAAACCAAAAAUACAAUCACUCAAAAAUCUUCUGAUGCAAUGAGUGAAUGUGAUGUGACAUUAUGGAUCAACGUUGAUACCUUUCCCCUUAUUGGAAAAGUGAUUUUUAUUUCUUGUUUGAUUCUUUUUUGUUGGAGGGAGCAUCAUUACGCAGGAAUACGCAGGAAAAUGAGCAGUCGAAAGAAACUAAAUCUCCGGAAAAAAUGGAGAGAAAGGUGAGUGAAAAUCCACAAAGAUCCCAAAUGCUUAAUCUUCUACGCACACGAGCAGAAUUGGACGGUAAAAUGUCCAUAUGAACAGAGCAAACGCAUUCAACGACUGAAGACACAGAACCAGAAAAAGGAAAUUCUCAGACGUACUUGCCAGAAUUGAUGGAGGAAGCAAACAUGUCAAGAAAAGGCUAUGUAGCAAUGAUUUCAAGCUUAGACAAAAUAAACAAAAAACUUUCGGCUAAAAAUGCACGCUAUGAGAUCAGAUUGGAUCAGGCAUCUGAAUUGUCAAAUUAUCUGUCAAGAUUUAAUAAAGAACUUGGAAGUGGCGUUGAUUCAUUGAAAAUUCGACUGGAAAAUUUUGAAAGGAAAGACCAAGAGUCAUCUUUGAGACAAGAAAAUGAUGAAUUGAGGGCUGAUAUUCAAAAGCUUGAGAUGAAGAUGGCAGAAUUAAUGGAAGAUUCCAAAGCGUCCAAACACAAAGAAGAAACCUACAUCGAGAAGAUUUUGCACUUGGAAGACAAACAUCACACAAUUAUCGCUCAGCUAGAUCAACUUGAACGCACAGCAGAGGAAAUAUAUGAAGUGAAUGUCUCUCUGAGAGAUUCAAAUAGGGACCUGAAAUUGCAGAUUGAGACAAAAGUAGUUCAUUCUAAGAGCUGGGGAAAAAGAUGCUUAGACGGCCUCUGGUUUAUAGUUAAACAAGGCCUUCUUGGUAUUGUUGAAAAAAAUGAUUAUUUUAGUACUUAAUACAGUUAAUCUUACGCAUGUGUAAAAAGGGUAUGUUUGACGCUCUUAUUUUGAACCGGACAGACAGGGGUCAAAAUGCAGAUCACUAAAUGGGGCCUCUUGCUGUGCGGACAGAACACAGAGCCAUAAAAUUAGCAUUCCUGCAGGCAGUUGGGGGGAGACCUGCCGGAGGCCAGCAUCUGCGAUGGUGUAUAAUUAAUGCAAAAUAGAAGAUUGAAACCCCGAACAUUUAAUUUCUAAGUAUUAAUACCAUGUUUUUACUGAAGAUUGUAUUAUCUCAUUUUAAAACUACUAAAUGAUG